rnacentral:rRNA from 1 species
UACGUAGGGUGCAAGCGUUGUCCGGAAUUAUUGGGCGUAAAGAGCUCGUAGGCGGUCUGUCGCGUCUGCUGUGAAAAUCCAGGGCUUAACCCCGGGCCUGCAGUGGGUACGGGCAGACUAGAGUGCGGUAGGGGAGACUGGAAUUCCUGGUGUAGCGGUGAAAUGCGCAGAUAUCAGGAGGAACACCGGUGGCGAAGGCGGGUCUCUGGGCCGUAACUGACGCUGAGGAGCGAAAGCAUGGGGAGCGAACAGG